rnacentral:rRNA from 1 species
AGUGAACGCUGGCGGCAGGCUUAACACAUGCAAGUCGAACGCCCCGCAAGGGGAGUGGCAGACGGGUGAGUAACGCGUGGGAACCUACCUUUCGGUGCGGAAUAACUCCGGGAAACCGGAGCUAAUACCGCAUACGCCCUAUGGGGGAAAGAUUUAUCGCCGAUAGAUGGGCCCGCGUCGGAUUAGCUAGUUGGUGAGGUAACGGCUCACCAAGGCGACGAUCCGUAGCUGGUCUGAGAGGAUGAUCAGCCACACUGGGACUGAGACACGGCCCAGACUCCUACGGGAGGCAGCAGUGGGGAAUAUUGGACAAUGGGCGCAAGCCUGAUCCAGCCAUGCCGCGUGAGUGAAGAGGGCCUUAGGGUUGUAAAGCUCUUUUAGUGGGGAAGAUAAUGACGGUACCCACAGAAUAAGCCCCGGCUAACUUCGUGCCAGCCGCCGCAGUAA